GAUGAACGCUGGCGGCGUGCCUAAUACAUGCAAGUCGAGCGAAGCGGGGACGGGUGAGUAACACGUGGAUAACCUCCUAUACAACUGGGAUAACUUCGGGAAACCGGAGCUAAACCGGAUAUUUUCAGAUGGAUCUGCGCUGCAUUACCUAGUUGUUGAGGUAACGGUUUACCAAGGCCACGAUGCCUAGCCGACCUGAGAGGGUGAUCGUCCAAACGGGAUCUGAGACACGGUCCAGACUCCUACGGCAGGCAGACGUCGGGAAUCUUCAGCAAUGGCCGAAGGCCUGACGUAGCAACACCGCGGGAGUGACGAAGGUCUUCGGGUCGUAAGAUUCUGUUAUUAGGGAGGCGGUACCUAAUCAGAAAGCCACGGCUAACUACGUGCCAGCAGCCGCGGUAAUUC
rnacentral:rRNA from 1 species